ensembl:miRNA
GAGGUGGGAGGAUUGCCUGAGCCUGGGAGGUUGAGGCUGCAGUGAGCUGUGAUCAUACCACUGCACUCCAGCCUGAGUGACAGAGUGAGAGCCUGUCUCA